UGGGGAGUAGUGUAACGGUAGCACUGCAGACUCUGGAUCUGCCUGUCUAGGUUCGAAUCCUGGCUCCCCAGCCA
rnacentral:tRNA from 1 species